CGGUCCAGCUGACGCUGGAUCACCAGCGGCAGCUGCUGGCGCCCAGAGCGCUGUUCACGUCCAGUAACGCUGCCCAGCUCAGCUACAACGCUACACUACAACGCCAGGGGCAAAACUGCCGCAACUUCGACGCUACCGUCCAGCCUGAGGUGAACAACGCGCAGGCGGCGGUGGGGCUGCGCCUGCAGUUCUGGCUCUCCUCCCCAGCCCUCCCCGCCGCCCAGCUGCCUCCCCAGCCCCGCUCCUCCUUCGGUGCCGAUGAGCGGUCGCCCCCCGUCACCCCCUUGACGUCGCCCGUAACGGACCCGUUGCAACGCGACGGGCAGGCAACGUUCCUGAGCUUUGUGACGGGCUGCGAGGACGACGGUGACCCGUCCUGCCGCAGUGACCUACGGGUCACGGCCUCGUACCCCGA